rnacentral:rRNA from 1 species
GCUGAACGCUGGCGGCGUGCUUAACACAUCCAAGUCGAACGGUGAAGCAGAGCUAGCUCUGUGGGUCAGUGGCCAACGCGUGAGUAACCCGCGAGAAACCUGCCCCUGACCCCGGGAUAAGCGCUGCAAACGACCGUAAGUACUGGAUAUAUGCUGCGUCCGCAUGGUGAGCCGUUGGAAAGAAUUUUCCGCCUAGGAUGCGCACACGGCCUUCCGGCUUGAUGGUGAGGGAAUGGCACACGAAGGCGUCGACGGGGAGCCGGCCUGAGAGGGUGACCGGCCCCACUGGGACUGAGACACGGCCCGGACUCCUACGGGAGGCAGCGGUGGCGGAUUUUGCACUAUGGGCGGAAGCCUGAUGCAGCACCGCCGCGUGGGGGAUGACGGCCUUCGGGUUGUAAACCUGUUUUAGCAGGGAAGAAGCGAAAGUGACGGUACCUGCAGAAAAAGCGCCGGCUAACUACGUG